rnacentral:rRNA from 1 species
GACGUAGGGCGCAAGCGUUGUCCGGAUUUAUUGGGCGUAAAGAGCUCGUAGGCGGUGUGUCACGUCGGCCGUGAAAACCUGCAGCUUAACUGUGGGCGUGCGGUCGAUACGGGCAUCACUGGAGUUCGGCAGGGGAGACUGGAAUUCCUGGUGUAGCGGUGAAAUGCGUAGAGAUCAGGAGGAACACCCGGGGCGAAGGCGGCCCUCUGGCUCGACCCUGACGCUGAGGCGCGAAAGCGUGGGGAGCGAACGGG